AUUGAACGCUGGCGGAAUGCUUUACACAUGCAAGUCGAGCGGCAGCACGGGGGCAACCCUGGUGGCGAGCGGCGAACGGGUGAGUAAUACAUCGGAGCAUGCCCAGUCGUGGGGGAUAACACUUCGAAAGAAGUGCUAAUACCGCAUACGUCCUGAGGGGGAAAGCGGGGGAUCGCAAGACCUCGCGCGAUUGGAGUGGCCGAUGUCAGAUUAGCUAGUUGGUGGGGUAAAGGCCUACCAAGGCAACGAUCUGUAGCUGGUCUGAGAGGAUGAUCAGCCACACUGGGACUGAGACACGGCCCAGACUCCUACGGGAGGCAGCAGUGGGGAAUUUUGGACAAUGGGGGCAACCCUGAUCCAGCCAUUCCGCGUGAGUGAAGAAGGCCUUCGGGUUGUAAAGCUCUUUCGGCAGGAACGAAACGGUGAGCUCUAACAUAGCUUGCUAAUGACGGUACCUGAAGAAGAAGCACCGGCUAACUACGUG
rnacentral:rRNA from 1 species